UACGGAGGAUGCAAGCGUUAUCCGGAAUGAUUGGGCGUAAAGCGUCCGCAGGUGGCAAUGUAAGUCUGCUGUCAAAGCGUCUGGCUCAACCAGAUAAAGGCAGUGGAAACUACAUAGCUAGAGUAAGGUAGGGGUAGAGGGAAUUCCUGGUGUAACGGUGAAAUGCGUAGAGAUCAGGAAGAACACCGGUGGCGAAAGCGCUCUGCUGGACCUUAACUGACACUGAGGGACGAAAGCUAGGGGAGCGAAUGGG
rnacentral:rRNA from 1 species